AGAGGGGGAUAACCACNGGAAACGGUGGCUAAUACCGCANAACGUCGCAAGACCAAAGNGGGGGACCUUCGGGCCUCUCACUAUCGGAUGAACCCAGAUGGGAUUAGCUAGUAGGCGGGGUAAUGGCCCACCUAGGCGACGAUCCCUAGCUGGUCUGAGAGGAUGACCAGCCACACUGGAACUGAGACACGGUCCAGACUCCUACGGGAGGCAGCAGUGGGGAAUAUUGCACAAUGGGCGCAAGCCUGAUGCAGCCAUGCCGCGUGUAUGAAGAAGGCCUUCGGGUUGUAAAGUACUUUCAGCGGGGAGGAAGGCGACGGGGUUAAUAACCCUGUCGAUUGACGUUACCCGCAGAAGAAGCACCGGCUAACUCCGUGCCAGCAGCCGCGGUAAUACGGAGGGUGCAAGCGUUAAUCGGAAUUACUGGGCGUAAAGCGCACGCAGGCGGUCUGUUAAGUCAGAUGUGAAAUCCCCGGGCUUAACCUGGGAACUGCAUUUGAAACUGGCAGGCUUGAGUCUUGUAGAGGGGGGUAGAAUUCCAGGUGUAGCGGUGAAAUGCGUAGAGAUCUGGAGGAAUACCGGUGGCGAAGGCGGCCCCCUGGACAAAGACUGACGCUCAGGUGCGAAAGCGUGGGGGAGCAAACAGGAUUAGAUACCCUGGUAGU
rnacentral:rRNA from 1 species